AAUACUAUCCAUCCCACUCGCACACGCGAAGAAUCCACUUUAGUAUCUCUUCCUUUCGGAACAUUACGGCCUUCCUCCAAACUAAAUAAGGCGCCAAAGAUACAUGCUGCCAAGUUUCGCAUUUGUAUGAGCUACGACUACACGAGACAAAUGAUGCUUGUGUGCUACGGAAAGGGUGGCAUGUAGCGCAAUGAUACCUGCGCUAAACGACUUACAUCGGAAGGAUCCACGGAGCACUUCACGAAAUCUAUGCAUUCCGGCAACACCGCCAAACACCUGUCAGGUGAUGGGAGGCGACGGACGUAAACAAUGCCGGCAAACCAAAUACUGAAAGAAAUACUGACUUCUAAGUCAAGAACCAGGGAGGUGUGUACAAAUAACAGCCAGGAGCGACAACUAGAAUAGAGACAGGCAAUGCUACGGAGCCUCGAGUGCGAGGGAUGUCGCAGGAAUAUACCAGGACGAACGAAAGCAAUGGCUACAAUAACCGUUACAACUCUGAGCAGCCUCUAGCCAUCCAAGAAGUACUAAGGUCUCAACCUAAGGAAGUAUGCAAACAUGUCUACAUGCACUGGCGUGUAAUGUCGCCACAAGACCAGCGAAGGCGACGCAGGGGCAUUAUAUAUAGAGUUGGAAGAAGAUAAUCACCAUUACACGAAAUUUCUCAAUACUACGUUAGAAAUAUCCUUUAAUGGCUUAUGUUAACUGUACCUAGUAACGUAUAAGU